rnacentral:tRNA from 1 species
AGCAGUGUGGUUUACUGGGUAGAACAUAUGCCUGGGAGUCAGAAGGACCUGGGUUCUAAUCCUGACUCUGCCA